rnacentral:tRNA from 1 species
GGGCCUUUAGCUCACGAUUAGGAGAGCGCCGCGCUGGCAGUGCGGAGGUAGCGGGAGCGUCGCCCGCAAGGUCCACCA